UACGAAGGGGGCUAGCGUUGCUCGGAAUCACUGGGCGUAAAGCGCACGUAGGCGGAUUGUUAAGUCAGGGGUGAAAUCCUGGAGCUCAACUCCAGAACUGCCUUUGAUACUGGCGAUCUUGAGUCCGGGAGAGGUGAGUGGAACUGCGAGUGUAGAGGUGAAAUUCGUAGAUAUUCGGAGGAACACCAGUGGCGAAGGCGGCUCACUGGUCCAUUACUGACGCUGAGGUGCGAAAGCGUGGGGAGCCAAACAGG
rnacentral:rRNA from 1 species